GAUAAAAAAUCGUGAACAUCCAAUAAAAUCGGAACAAUACAAACACAAUUAGCACAACCCCUGGGCAAGGAUGAUAUGCACAAAUCAAGAGGUCCAAUUUUUUUUA